UGGAGGGCAACCCUGGACCUGCCCAGGGCCUGGAGGAACUCACCAAGUGGAAGUAAUACACCUGAAGUUGGAAGUCAUCAGUCUACAGCACUGCAGAGCUGAGUAGAGGAGACUAAUUAUUUUACCUCCUCUUGGGCCAUGUUGGACUCUUAUCUAGGAAUUCUGUUGAAAAGUGAAUGGGAAUUGAAUAAGAUGAAGAUAAUGUAUGUAUGAUUCCUUCGAUAAUCAGCUUCUGAUGAAAAUGGAAGAGAAGGCAAUGGCAGAACUGCUAUUCCUUACAUGCAUAAGCUAAACCAUAAAGGAGAUACAAUCAAUACAAAUAUGAAAGCAAGAUUUGUAUGAUCAAGUGGAAUUAAGAUGGCAGCUAAAGAUGGUAAAGUUAUGUUUCACAUAGCAUCUUCCUCCAAGAACUCAUAACUUGAACAACUAAUCUUUGAUGGAGAGUGAGAACCAAAAAAGCACACCAGAAGCAAUCAACAAAAAAGGCAAUCACCUGCAUAGGCAGAAAUAUCCAAGUGUUCCCAAGAUUUAGAUUUUGCAAACACAUGUGGCACUUAGCUAAACCCUGAAGAGGAGUGCUAAAAAGAGGCAAAGGGAGAAAAGAGUGAGUGAGGGCAAGUGGAAGUGAUGAAAGUGCUCACAAGUAAAAGACAAGCUCCAACUUAGAAAGAAAAUUAAGAGUGGAUACCAACGAGUAAUGAUAUCACACUCUGUGGUGUAGAGAAAAACUUUCCUUUCUAGUGAAAUUCCCCUCAAUAAAAAUCUAUAUAACAUCA